rnacentral:rRNA from 1 species
CAAAUAUGAAGGCGGGCUGGAACCUCUCGGGGUUACAGCCUUGCUGAAUUAUUCACCCUUGUCUUUUGCGUACUUCUUGUUUCCUUGGUGGGUUCGCCCACCACUAGGACAAACAUAAACCUUUUGUAAUUGCAAUCAGCGUCAGUAACAAAUUAAUAAUUACAACUUUCAACAACGGAUCUCUUGGUUCUGGCAUCGAUGAAGAACGCAGCGAAAUGCGAUAAGUAGUGUGAAUUGCAGAAUUCAGUGAAUCAUCGAAUCUUUGAACGCACAUUGCGCCCUUUGGUAUUCCAAAGGGCAUGCCUGUUCGAGCGUCAUUUGUACCCUCAAGCUUUGCUUGGUGUUGGGCGUCUUGUCUCUAGCUUUGCUGGAGACUCGCCUUAAAGUAAUUGGCAGCCGGCCUACUGGUUUCGGAGCGCAGCACAAGUCGCACUCUCUAUCAGCAAAGGUCUAGCAUCCAUUAAGCCUUUUUUUCAACUUUUGACCUCGGAUCAGGUAGGG